GAUGAAGAACGUAGUGAAAUGCGAUACGUAGUGUGAAUUGCAGAAUUCCGUGAACCAUCAAAUCUUUGAACGCAUAUUGCGCUCGAGGCUUCGGCCGAGAGCAUGUCUGCCUCAGCGUCGGUAUUACCCCUCGCUUCUCAACCCCUGGUUGAUGCCUGCCUGCCUUUGCAGUUGGCUAGAAGCGGAUCUGGCUUUCCCAAUUGCCUUUGGUAGUUGGGUCAGCUGAAGCACAGAGGCUUGAGCAAGGACCCUUAUUGGGCUUCAACUGGAUAGGUAGAACUGGUCUUAGGACCAACUACACGAAGUUGUUGCUUGUGGUCUUUUGUCUGGAGGCCAGCAGGAAACCUUUAUACCUUCGACCUGAGCUCAGGCAAGAUUACCCGCUGAACUUAAGCAUAUCAAUAGCGGAGGA
rnacentral:misc_RNA from 1 species